GCCAAGAUGGGAGGGAGGCCAUUUCCUCUCUGCUGAGAGCAGAUGCAGAUGCUUCGCAUCUGUGACUGCUUGCAGAGUCCUUCCUUUGAGCCAUUGCCCCCUGCUGUUAUUUUGCCACCUCAUCCAAGAUGCCAAGAACUCUCAGGACAAGGCUCAAGAUAAAAACAAAAGAUCAGAGCUGAGCACACUCUCACACACAGGCACACACAUGAGUGUGCACAGGAUUCCGAAGCCUCCAGGAUUGACUCUGAAGCAUGCAGGCAGAGGUGUGUUUGUAUGGGGAGGUACGGAUGUUGAACUGAGCAGCACCUCCUUUCUUGUGAUCUGGCCAUUUGUCUUGAAAGAACCAAGAAGAGACAGGCCUGAAUCCCGGAGCCAUCAGAGGACCCCAAGCAGCAGGGGCUUGCUGGUGGAACAAAGGGCCUUCUGACAUGUGUGAGGGCUGUGUUUUGUCGACUAGGUAUCACAUUCCAGCCACAGCAUGACAGACAAAUGUCAGGCCAGAUGAGGAGAUGCAAUCUGCUCGACCAAAUGCAUCUUUACCUGGCUCAUGUGAUGGGAGCAGAUGCUGACUCAAUACGGGUGCAGGUGCAGAAAAAAAAAGGAGGAAAGCCCAGACACUGAGGCAUAGUGCUGUGAAAGCCCAGAGCCUCCAGGGAGGCUCACUUUUCCACAUUAUUGAUCCAAACUUCUAUGUGUCAUAGAUCUUGUCUGUGCUAUACCUUGUUGAAGCUUUCUGGCAGAGGAAGCCUGAGGGAAUCUUUGACAUCUGGAAACUGAAG
rnacentral:lncRNA from 1 species